CGGGCCCUACGGGGCGCAGCAGUGAGGAAUAUUGGUCAAUGGGCGGAAGCCUGAACCAGCCACGUCGCGUGAGGGAAUAAGGCCCUACGGGUCGUAAACCUCUUUUGCCGGGGAGCAAGGGCGGGGACGUGUCCCGGCCCGGAGAGUACCCGGAGAAAAAGCAUCGGCUAACUCCGUGCCAGCAGCCGCGGUAAUACGGAGGAUGCGAGCGUUAUCCGGAGUUAUUGGGUUUAAAGGGUGCGUAGGCGGAGUUUUAAGUCAGCGGGAAAAUGUCCGGG
rnacentral:rRNA from 1 species